GACGAACGCUGGCGGCGUGCCUAAUACAUGCAAGUAGAACGCUGAAGGAGGAGCUUGCUUCUCUGGAUGAGUUGCGAACGGGUGAGUAACGCGUAGGUAACCUGCCUGGUAGCGGGGGAUAACUAGUGGAAACGAUAGCUAAUACCGCAUAAGAGUAGAUGUUGCAUGACAUUUGCUUAAAAGGUGCACUUGCAUCACUACCAGAUGGACCUGCGUUGUAUUAGCUAGUUGGUGGGGUAACGGCUCACCAAGGCGACGAUACAUAGCCGACCUGAGAAGGGGAUCGGCCACACUGGGACUGAGACACGGCCCAGACUCCUACGGGAGGCAGCAGUAGGGAAUCUUCGGCAAUGGACGGAAGUCUGACCGAGCAACGCCGCGUGAGUGAAGAAGGUUGUCGGAUCGUAAAGCUCUGUUGUAAGGGAAGAACGAGUGUGAGAGUGGAAAGUUCACACUGUGACGGUAUCUGACCAGAAAGGGACGGCUAACUACGUG
rnacentral:rRNA from 1 species